rnacentral:misc_RNA from 1 species
GAUGAAGAACGUAGCGAAAUGCGAUAAGUAGUGUGAAUUGCAGAAUUCAGUGAAUCAUCGAAUCUUUGAACGCACAUUGCGCCUCCUGGCAUUCCGGGAGGCAUGCCUGUUCGAGCGUCAUUUAAACCUUCAAGCUAAGCUUGGUGUUGGGUGACUGUCCGCUUCACUGCGGACUCGCCUCAAAAUUAUUGGCGGCCGGUACAUUGGCUUCGAGCGCAGCAGAAACGCGAACUCGGGCCCGUCGUAUUGGCUCCCAGAAGCUAUCUUCACAAUUUUGACCUCGGAUCAGGUAGGGAUACCCGCUGAACUUAAGCAUAUCAAUAAGCGGAGGA